rnacentral:rRNA from 1 species
AAUGUGAAGCCGCGAAUAGCUCAUUACAACAGCCGUUGUUUCUUGGAUCUCCGCAAUACUUGGAUAACUGUGGUAAUUCUAGAGCUAAUACACGCAAUCGAGCCUCGACCUUACGGGACAGGCGCAUUUAUUAGAACAAAACCAAUCGGCUCUCGUAUGUCGCCGUUUGGUGAAUCUGAAUAACUGAGCAGAUCGCUUGGUCUUUGCACCGGCGACGUAUCCUUCAAGUGUCUGCCUUAUCAACUUUCGAUGGUAGUUUAUGUGCCUACCGUGGUUGUAACGGGUAACGGAGAAUAAGGGUUCGACUCCGGAGAGGGAGCCUGAGAAACGGCUACCACUUCUAAGGAAGGCAGCAGGCGCGCAAAUUACCCACUCUCGGCACGAGGAGGUAGUGACGAAAAAUAACAAGACGAAGCUCUCGUGAGUUUCGUCAUUGGAAUGAGUACAAUCCAAACCCUUUAACGAGGACCUAGCGGAGGGCAAGUCUGGUGCCAGCAGCCGCGGUAAUUCCAGCUCCGCCAGUGUAUAUCUAUGCUGCUGC